rnacentral:snoRNA from 1 species
UGAACUUGCUGCUAGAUAUAGAAAUGUUUUGAAAAGGUAAGGGGGUUAUGAAAAAAUUCACAACUGGAUCUCACAACUGUAGGUAGUGUGCUACCUGAGUGCAGGUUUUCUCUAACACUCCACUCUAGCCUGUGAGUGGGGUUUGAUAGUAACCUUUGCUACAAAU